rnacentral:rRNA from 1 species
UAUACCUACGGGGGGCAGCAGUGAGGAAUAUUGGUCAAUGGGCGAGAGCCUGAACCAGCCAAGCCGCGUGAGGGAGGAAGGCGCAGAGCGUCGCAGACCUCUUUUGCCGGGGGACAAAAGGCCGGACUCGUCCGGUCCUGAGGGUACCCGGAGAAAAAGCAUCGGCUAACUCCGUGCCAGCAGCCGCGGUAAUACGGAGGAUGCGAGCGUUAUCCGGAUUCAUUGGGUUUAAAGGGUGCGCAGGCGGGCCUUUAAGCCGG